AUUGAACGCUGGCGGCAGGCCUAACACAUGCAAGUCGAGCGGAUGAAGGGAGCUUGCUCCUGGAUUCAGCGGCGGACGGGUGAGUAAUGCCUGGGAAUCUGCCUGGUAGUGGGGGAUAACGUCCGGAAACGGGCGCUAAUACCGCAUACGUCCUGAGGGAGAAAGUGGGGGAUCUUCGGACCUCACGCUAUCAGAUGAGCCUAGGUCGGAUUAGCUAGUUGGUGGGGUAAAGGCCUACCAAGGCGACGAUCCGUAACUGGUCUGAGAGGAUGAUCAGUCACACUGGAACUGAGACACGGUCCAGACUCCUACGGGAGGCAGCAGUGGGGAAUAUUGGACAAUGGGCGAAAGCCUGAUCCAGCCAUGCCGCGUGUGUGAAGAAGGUCUUCGGAUUGUAAAGCACUUUAAGUUGGGAGGAAGGGCAGUAAGUUAAUACCUUGCUGUUUUGACGUUACCAACAGAAUAAGCACCGGCUAACUUCGU
rnacentral:rRNA from 1 species